rnacentral:rRNA from 1 species
UACAGAGGUGGCAAGCGUUGUUCGGAAUUACUGGGCGUAAAGGGCGCGUAGGCGGUUCGUUAAGUCCUGUGUGAAAUCCCCCGGCUCAACUGGGGAACUGCACAGGAAACUAGCGGGCUUGAGUCCGGGAGAGGGAAGCGGAAUUCCGGGUGUAGCGGUGAAAUGCGUAGAUAUCCGGAGGAACACCGGUGGCGGAGGCGGCUUCCUGGACCGACACUGACGCUGAGGCGCGAAAGCUAGGGGAGCAAACGGG